UACGAAGGGGGCAAGCGUUGUUCGGAUUUACUGGGCGUACAGGGCGCGUAGGCGGUUGGUUAAGCCCGCCGUGAAAUCUCCAGGCUUAACCUGGAAAGUGCAGAGGGGACUGUUCAGCUAGAGGAUGGGAGAGGAGCGCGGAAUUGCCGGUGUAGCGGUGAAAUGCGCAGAUAUCGGGAGGAACACCAAUGGCGAAGGCAGCUUGCUGGGACGGUACUGACGCUGAGGCGCGAAAGCGUGGGGAGCAAACAGG
rnacentral:rRNA from 1 species